AGCCCAGGACCUCUUGGGAGAUGGAAUGUCACCCAGAAGUUAAAGGUAGAGAGGGGGUAUCAGUGUUCUGGGAAUGAGUGUGUCCUGGAUCCUCACUGUUAGGAGGGCCACUGUGUGCCCUCCUGAAGCUCCGAGGGUAAAGGCUGUCCCUGGGAUAGCGCUGGCACUCUCUGACCUCUUCCUGGGCUCAACCAGUGCCCUGUGUCCACCUGGGACAUGCUCUGACCAGCAAGUGUCCCACAGAGGUGAGUGCUGCUGCUGUGUGGUCCCCAUCCGUUUAACGAGGGUUUAUUGAGCAUCUGUCAGUGUCAGGGUCAGUGCUGGAGUGUCAGGUCAUUCUCUCCGGGCACAGGAGACCCCAUCAACUCUGCUUCUCAAAGUGUGGUUUAGGAACUGACAUGUAGACAGAGGGAAAGGGGAAGGAGGGACAAAGUAAGCAGGACUAGAGGGGAGGGAACAGGGAAGUAUCCUGGGCAGAUUCUGUCCCCAGCACAUGUGACCAGCCAGCUCUGAGCCCAAGGAGGAGAUUCAGCACAGAGGGAGGAAGGACAGCAGAGCAGCUGUGCUUGGGAGUGUUCCUGGAGCUGAAGCUCUUCUGCAUAGAGGACAGAGCAGGCAGCAGGGACCAUGGAGCCCCCCUCAGCCCCUCCCCGCAGAGGGCUCGUCCUAUGGCAGGGGCUCCUGCUCACAGUUUGCCAUUGGAUGUCUAUGGCUAUGGAUGGUACAGAGGGACAACAACUUUGACGGACAAUCUUCUUGGAAUGUUUGUAAGAGGCUGGGGCCUGUGUACAGUGGGCGUGAGAACAUAUUCCCCAAUGCAACCAUGCUGUUCCAAAACGUCACCCUGAAGGAAGCAGGAUACUACACUCUACUAAUCGUACGUAGAAGUCUCAAGAAUGACCAAGUGACUGGACAGUUCCACGUAUACCGGCCAGCAGCUCAGCCCUCCAUCUCAGCCAGCAGCACCACAGUCACAGAAGAGAGGGGCCCCUGGUACUGACCUGUCUCAUAGAUGACACUGGAACCUCCAACUCAUGGACCUUCAAUAAGCACAGUCUUGUGGGCCACGGAGGAGAUGGAGCUGUCCUGAGACCACAGUAUGCUCAGCAUAGACCCUGACAGGAGGGAGGAUGCCAGAGAGUGUCGGUGUGAAGUCUCCACCUCGGUCGGUUCUAGCAAAAGUGACCCCCUCAGGCUGACUAUGAAUUGUGAGUCAUCUGAGUCUCCUCCUAUCAGUUAGUAAACUCUUAAGUUGACUUUUUUCCUAUAAAGCGAUCCUUGUGAUGCACUUACUUUUAUCGCUGCGGUGAAUAAUCAAUGGAUGAAGGUGGAAAGUCCUUAGAAGAUUUGCAUUCAGUCAAUAAAUGCUCAAAACCAUGAACUGACACUGUCAUUACUGUUGGCUUAAGGUCCCAUUCAACACCAGAUCCCACCACUUGUCCAUCUCAGUGUGCCAUCUCCACAGUGAGGGUGACACCGUGUUCUGUAGGGAAAGGGAUGCCCUGGGCCGAGACCCAACAAAAGACAGACACUGUCAAGGAUGUGAUCUGUCCCCCAUAGGGUUUCAUCAUCACUCAGGAAAGAUGUUCCCAGGCACCCCUGCUCACAGCAGACACAAGCCCAGGCUGAGCCACGCUAGGGGUGAACCCCAAAAGCCUGGACACCUCCACCUUGCAUGUUUGCAACAGCCCUGCAGCACUCAUUCUCCUCAACCUGCACCCUCAGUUUCAAGGCUAAAGGGAGUAGCCUGCACCACAAAAGCCACAGAAGAUUCUUGGAAAAACUAAUGUCCUGCAGAGAAAAUCCACAGGGUGUCUAUGUGGGGCCUGGCCUUGGUCCUCCCCUCAAGUUCCCCAAGCCUCAGGGGCUCUCAUUCUGGCAAUUCCCUCUCU